rnacentral:rRNA from 1 species
ACACAUGCAAGUCGAACGGCAGCACGGGAGCAAUCCUGGUGGCGAGUGGCGAACGGGUGAGUAAUACAUCGGAACGUGCCCAAUCGUGGGGGAUAACGCAGCGAAAGCUGUGCUAAUACCGCAUGAGAUCUACGGAUGAAAGCAGGGGACCGCAAGGCCUUGCGCGAAUGGAGCGGCCGAUGGCAGAUUAGGUAGUUGGUGAGGUAAAGGCUCACCAAGCCUGCGAUCUGUAGCUGGUCUGAGAGGACGACCAGCCACACUGGGACUGAGACACGGCCCAGACUCCUACGGGAGGCAGCAGUGGGGAAUUUUGGACAAUGGGCGCAAGCCUGAUCCAGCCAUGCCGCGUGCAGGAUGAAGGCCUUCGGGUUGUAAACUGCUUUUGUACGGAACGAAAAGGCUUUCUCUAAUAAAGAGGGCUCAUGACGGUACCGUAAGAAUAAGCACCGGCUAACUACGUGCCAGCAGCCGCGGUAAUACGUAGGGUGCAAGCGUUAAUCGGAAUUACUGGGCGUAAAGCGUGCGCAGGCGGUGAUGUAAGACAGUUGUGAAAUCCCCGGGCUCAACCUGGGAACUGCAUCUGUGACUGCAUCGCUGGAGUGCGGCAGAGGGGGAUGGAAUUCCGCGUGUAGCAGUGAAAUGCGUAGAUAUGCGGAGGAACACCGAUGGCGAAGGCAAUCCCCUGGGCCUGCACUGACGCUCAUGCACGAAAGCGUGGGGAGCAAACAGGAUUAGAUACCCUGGUAGUCCACGCCCUAAACGAUGUCAACUGGUUGUUGGGUCUUCACUGACUCAGUAACGAAGCUAACGCGUGAAGUUGACCGCCUGGGGAGUACGGCGC